rnacentral:rRNA from 1 species
UACGAAGGGGGCUAGCGUUGCUCGGAAUUACUGGGCGUAAAGCGCACGUAGGCGGCUUCUUAAGUCGGUGGUGAAAUCCUGGAGCUCAACUCCAGAACUGCCUUCGAUACUGGGAGCUCGAGUCCGGGAGAGGUGAGUGGAACUGCGAGUGUAGAGGUGAAAUUCGUAGAUAUUCGCAAGAACACCAGUGGCGAAGGCGCUCACUGGCCCGGUACUGACGCUGAGGAGCGAAAGCCAG